rnacentral:ribozyme from 11 species
ACACUCGGAGACUGCCGCAAGCCAAGUGGCAAGCAAUCUGGGCUGAUGGCACAGAAACGACGACAAGCGCCGCGCAUCAGAGGACCCUGGAGCGCCUUGGAAAAGAACAUAGACCUCUGGAGGAACAGUGUCACGACAAUCCCUGAUUGGAGCAAAA